UACGUAGGGUGCAAGCGUUGUCCGGAAUUAUUGGGCGUAAAGAGCUCGUAGGCGGUCUGUCGCGUCUGCUGUGAAAACUCAGGGCUUAACCCUGAGCUUGCAGUGGGUACGGGCAGACUAGAGUGCGGUAGGGGAGACUGGAAUUCCUGGUGUAGCGGUGAAAUGCGCAGAUAUCAGGAGGAACACCGGUGGCGAAGGCGGGUCUCUGGGCCGAUACUGACGCUGGAGGAAGCGAAAGCCGUGGGGGAGCGAACAGGA
rnacentral:rRNA from 1 species